GGCCACCCAGGAGGCGGCCUGCGCCCCGGCGUCCUGGACCUGGUCGACGGCCGGGGUGGCGGCCGGUGCGGCCUGUUCCGCCCAGUCGGUGGCCU
rnacentral:tRNA from 1 species